UGCAGUCGAGCGGUAGAGAGAAGCUUGCUUCUCUUGAGAGCGGCGGACGGGUGAGUAAUGCCUAGGAAUCUGCCUGGUAGUGGGGGAUAACGUUCGGAAACGGACGCUAAUACCGCAUACGUCCUACGGGAGAAAGCAGGGGACCUUCGGGCCUUGCGCUAUCAGAUGAGCCUAGGUCGGAUUAGCUAGUUGGUGGGGUAAUGGCUCACCAAGGCGACGAUCCGUAACUGGUCUGAGAGGAUGAUCAGUCACACUGGAACUGAGACACGGUCCAGACUCCUACGGGAGGCAGCAGUGGGGAAUAUUGGACAAUGGGCGAAAGCCUGAUCCAGCCAUGCCGCGUGCGUGAAGAAGGUCUUCGGAUUGUAAAGCACUUUAAGUUGGGAGGAAGGGUUGUAGAUUAACACUCUGCAAUUUUGACGUUACCGACAGAAUAAGCACCGGCUAACUCUGUGCC
rnacentral:rRNA from 1 species